rnacentral:rRNA from 1 species
UUACCUCAGUAACGGCGAGUGAAGCGGUAACAGCUCAAAUUUGAAAUCUGGCGCUUUCAGCGUCCGAGUUGUAAUUUGUAGAAGAUGCUUUGGGUGUGGCUCCGGUCUAAGUUCCUUGGAACAGGACGUCAUGGAGGGUGAGAAUCCCGUAUGUGACUGGCUGCCUUCGCCCGUGUAAAGCUUUUUCGACGAGUCGAGUUGUUUGGGAAUGCAGCUCUAAAUGGGAGGUAUAUUUCUUCUAAAGCUAAAUAUUGGCCAGAGACCGAUAGCGCACAAGUAGAGUGAUCGAAAGAUGAAAAGCACUUUGGAAAGAGAGUUAAACAGUACGUGAAAUUGUUGAAAGGGAAGCGCUUGCAACCAGACUUGCCUGCGGUCGAUCAUCCUGGGUUCUCCCUGGUGCACUCGAUCGUGGUCAGGCCAGCAUCGGUUUCGGUGGUGGGAUAAAGGCCUUGGGAAUGUAGCAGUCUUCGGGCUGUGUUAUAGCCCUCGGUGCAAUGCCGCCUACCGGGACCGAGGACCGCGCUUCGGCUAGGAUGCUGGCGUAAUGGUUGUAAGCGACCCGUCUUGAAACAC